GGGUGUGAUCAUACCAACAUUAAUGCACCGUAUCCCAUCGGAACUCCGUAGUUAAGUGCGCUUGGGAUGGAGUAGUACUGGGAUGGGUGACCUUCCGAGAAGUCCUAGCAUUUCACCCU
rfam:Picea glauca, whole genome shotgun sequence.